rnacentral:rRNA from 1 species
AGUGAACGCUGGCGGCGUGCCUAAUACAUGCAAGUCGAACGGAGUGGAGCACGGGUGAGUAAUGUAUAGAUAAUCUGCCCUACACUAGAGGACAACAGGUGGAAACGACUGCUAAUACUCUAUAGUGUAGGAUGAGGCUAUGUUGUAUCAGCUAGUUGGUGAGGUAAUGGCUCACAAAGGCUAGGACGCAUAACGGGUCUGAGCGGAUGAGCAGUCACACUGGAACUGAGACACGGUCCUGACUCCUUCGGCAGGGAGCAGUAGUGUAGCUUGCUCAAUGGGGGACACCCUGAAGCUGCAACGGCGCGUGGAGGAUUCUACUUUGCUGAGCGUAAACUCCUUUUGUUAGGAACGCGGUACCUAACGAAUAAGCACCGGCUAACUCCGUGCCAGCAGCCGCGGUAAUUC